UUAUUGCUGUUGUGCUUUAAUUCAUGGAUGGAUAUUGCUCAUCCUUGAUUUAGACAAUAAAGCAUGGAAUGAAGUGAACCAUGGACUCCCAAGCCAAUUUUAAGGACAAAUGCCACGGUACAAAUCUGGAUACUUCAAUAAAUUAUGUUAACCACUGGGAAUGAACACAAGGGUAAUUAACACUGCAAGCAUCUGUUUACCCAGAAGAAUUACAGGCAUGGAAACUAGGGUAAAACUUUGGGGGAGAUGUAUUUAUUUUUUUAAAUAAUUUACGGAAAAUUGUGCUAUUUAAAUUCUUGUAUCUGUUGAUUGUAAAUUAUUUCAGAGAUAAUAUUCUUUUAAAAAAUCUUUUACAUCUUAAUGGAAGUGGAAUGGCAGUUUUGAAAAUUGACUACAGUGCUUAAAAUAUUUCACUAAAUCUGGAGGAGAAGAGGUUAAGCAUAUUUUUUGGGCACCUAUACACAUGCCGGAUGUCUACUCCAAUGCGUGCUAAUUGCCACUCAUCAGACCAGGCUCAAUUAAUCGAGUCUACUGGAGUGUGCUAAUUAGCAUGCUCCAGCAGCCUCUGUGUCAUGUCUAUUCAGUGUCCCCAUACUUCAAAAUGGCAGCGGGAACACUUUAAGUAAACCUCAUUGAACUAAAUACAUGUGAUGCUGUAGGUACUUUAGUUAGAACAGCUCUGAGAGCUGCUUUAAUUAAAGUGCCCCCCCCCCCAAGCAUGUGUAUAGAUGCCUUUUUGGCUUUUUAUCCACUAGGGACUCUACUCUUGGCAUUAAUUUUUAUGUAGAAAGGGCUCUGAUACUAUAGGGAUGGGAAGUAUAUUGUCCUAUUUUCUGGUGGUUAGUGCCUGCCAUUUUAACUUCCUGUUGGAGCUGGUUGAAAAAGUGUGACUUUGUUUUGUUUUCAGUUGUGUUUGUGUGGUUUUUAAUGAAAAGAAGGAUACUUUUCCACAAUGUUUUCAUCUCUUUUUCUCAUUUUUCCCUCCUUGCUUGCUUUCCUCUCCUUGCAACAGGAAACACCUUUGAGUCUGGGGUUGAGUGUACAGUUGCUUCUCUCUUAGACUGUGCAGUGAGCUCUUGGCCACUGAGCUUUGUUGCCAGUUGCACCUCCAUGCCAGUGUAUUCUUUGUUGCAUCCCUCUUUUCAAAAUCCUAGAUCCACUUCUGGCUUACAUACUUCAAAUAUCUGCUUGCCUCCUUAUGAGGUCCCUUUCAACGUAACUUAAACAUGUUAUCUCACUGCAUACUCAUUGGAGGCACUUGUCAGUUUAUUAGUGAUAGGUGAAAGCUUUAGGCAAGAUCAGAUAAUGCCAAAAUGGUCCAAGGCUUAGUGUGAUAUCCAGGGGCUUAGGAGAUGCUGAGUCAGUUCUCUGCUCUCAAACUGU